AAAGUUUGUAAGAUCAGAGCCUUUCCGUGUCUAG
rnacentral:tRNA from 1 species